rnacentral:rRNA from 1 species
AGUAACACGUGGGUAACCUGCCCAUAAGACUGGGAUAACUCCGGGAAACCGGGGCUAAUACCGGAUAACAUUUUGAACCGCAUGGUUCGAAAUUGAAAGGCGGCUUCGGCUGUCACUUAUGGAUGGACCCGCGUCGCAUUAGCUAGUUGGUGAGGUAACGGCUCACCAAGGCAACGAUGCGUAGCCGACCUGAGAGGGUGAUCGGCCACACUGGGACUGAGACACGGCCCAGACUCCUACGGGAGGCAGCAGUAGGGAAUCUUCCGCAAUGGACGAAAGUCUGACGGAGCAACGCCGCGUGAGUGAUGAAGGCUUUCGGGUCGUAAAACUCUGUUGUUAGGGAAGAACAAGUGCUAGUUGAAUAAGCUGGCACCUUGACGGUACCUAACCAGAAAGCCACGGCUAACUACGUGCCAGCAGCCGCGGUAAUACGUAGGUGGCAAGCGUUAUCCGGAAUUAUUGGGCGUAAAGCGCGCGCAGGUGGUUUCUUAAGUCUGAUGUGAAAGCCCACGGCUCAACCGUGGAGGGUCAUUGGAAACUGGGAGACUUGAGUGCAGAAGAGGAAAGUGGAAUUCCAUGUGUAGCGGUGAAAUGCGUAGAGAUAUGGAGGAACACCAGUGGCGAAGGCGACUUUUCUGGUCUGUAACUGACACUGAGGCGCGAAAGCGUGGGGAGCAAACAGGAUUAGAUACCGCUGGUUAGUCCACCGCCGUAAACGAUGAGUGCUAAUUGUUAGAAGGGUUUCCGCCCCUUUAUUGCUGAAGUUAACGCCAUUAAGCACCUCCGCCCUGGGGGAGGAACGGCGGCCAAGGUUGUUUCUCUUGUAUUGAUCGAGCGCCCCGCCCCAACCGGUGUGGAACAAUUGUGUUUUUAUUUAUAAGAAUGCGCAAAAAACAUUAAUCAGCGUGUGGUAGUUCAUCUGUAUAAACAACAAGAAUGAGGAUGUCCUCCUCAGCGAGAGGCACAGGAGUGGAGAGAUGGCUCGCUCUCGUCAGGAAGUGUGGUUAAGACCGAACACGUACACCAGACCUAAUUCUGAUUAAUUUGUACCGUAGACUACUCGUGGCACCCGUAUAGUAGAUUUAACA